AGUGAACGCUGGCGGUAGGCCUAACACAUGCAAGUCGAACGGCAGCACAGUAAUAGCUUGCUCUUACGGGUGGCGAGUGGCGGCCGGGUGAUGAAUACAUCGGAAUCUACUUUUUCGUGGGGGCUAACGUAGGGACACUUACGCUAAUACCGCAUACGACCUACGGGUGAAAGCUGGGGAUCUUCGGCCCUUGCGCGAUUGAAUGAGCCGAUGUCGGAUUAGCUAGUUGGCGGGGUAAAGGCCCACCAAGGCGACGAUCCGUAGCUGGUCUGAGAGGAUGAUCAGCCACACUGGAACUGAGACACGGUCCAGACUCCUACGGGAGGCAGCAGUGGGGAAUAUUGGACAAUGGGCGCAAGCCUGAUCCAGCCAUACCGCGUGGGUGAAGAAGGUCUUCGGGUUGUAAAGCCCUUUUGUUGGGGAAGAAAAGCAGCAGGUUAAUACCCCGCUGUUCUGACGGUACCCAAAGAAUAAGCACCGGCUAACUUCGUG
rnacentral:rRNA from 1 species